GGUGCCAUAGCUCAGUUGGUAGGGCAAAGGACUGAAAAUCCUUGUGUCCCCGGUUCGAUUCCUGGUGGCACCA
rnacentral:tRNA from 1 species